UCUGAAACGAACAUUGCUCUUUCCAUUGAGAAACAAGUUUGGCCUUCCAUCCAUCAAGAUGAGCUGUUGCAGAUGUUGCGGUGGUCGGGGCUGUAGCUGCUGCUGUUGCCGAAGACCCAGACAGAGAGUGAUCUACUACGUUGGGAGACCCGUCGUCCCCUGCUAUGGUGGUUAUGGGUACACCUACGUCCCCUCCUACACUCCAGUGAGAAGCUGCUGUUGCUGCUGUGGCCCACAGUAUGGCAACAAAGUGAAGAAAUGCUAAGGAAGUUCUCAAGAAGAAGAAGCUCAUCUUGCUGAAAUAAGAGCUUGCACUUGUCCUGGCUCCUCCACAAAUCUGCACCUCUUUUCUCCUUUCCCUUAAAUUUCUUCUAGGAAUCACUUCUUAAGAAGUUCUAAGAGCUGAAGGAGAAUGGUUCUCCUUUCUUUGUUGAUGUCAGGUUCAAUUUCUUAUCCUACUCUUCCUCAGUGAAUCUUUUCCUGGGACGUUCCUGAGCUACACACUUAAAGUGGUUUCAUCAUAAUAUAUCUCCUUCAGAAAACGUCGCUUACAAGAUGGAGUGCCAAUUGCCAAUUCUCAGCACCUUCAUCAAACUGCAUUUCCCAGGAUGCCUCAGAAGAAAUCAUGGGGCAGGGGACUUGUUUAUGCUGUAGAAAGUCCCUGCAUUUUAAGCAUUAAAAAAGUUCCGAAAUUACAAA